rnacentral:rRNA from 1 species
AGUUUGAUCAUGGCUCAGAUUGAACGCUGGCGGCAGGCCUAACACAUGCAAGUCGAGCGGUAGCACAAGAGAGCUUGCUCUCUGGGUGACGAGCGGCGGACGGGUGAGUAAUGUCUGGGGAACUGCCUGAUGGAGGGGGAUAACUACUGGAAACGGUAGCUAAUACCGCAUAACGUCUUCGGACCAAAGUGGGGGACCUUCGGGCCUCACGCCAUCAGAUGUGCCCAGAUGGGAUUAGCUAGUAGGUGGGGUAAUGGCUCACCUAGGCGACGAUCCCUAGCUGGUCUGAGAGGAUGACCAGCCACACUGGAACUGAGACACGGUCCAGACUCCUACGGGAGGCAGCAGUGGGGAAUAUUGCACAAUGGGCGCAAGCCUGAUGCAGCCAUGCCGCGUGUGUGAAGAAGGCCUUCGGGUUGUAAAGCACUUUCAGCGAGGAGGAAGGGUAGUGUGUUAAUAGCACAUUGCAUUGACGUUACUCGCAGAAGAAGCACCGGCUAACUCCGUGCCAGCAGCCGCGGUAAUACGGAGGGUGCAAGCGUUAAUCGGAAUUACUGGGCGUAAAGCGCACGCAGGCGGUUUGUUAAGUCAGAUGUGAAAUCCCCGCGCUUAACGUGGGAACUGCAUUUGAAACUGGCAAGCUAGAGUCUUGUAGAGGGGGGUAGAAUUCCAGGUGUAGCGGUGAAAUGCGUAGAGAUCUGGAGGAAUACCGGUGGCGAAGGCGGCCCCCUGGACAAAGACUGACGCUCAGGUGCGAAAGCGUGGGGAGCAAGCAGGAUUAGAUACCCCGGUAGU